rnacentral:rRNA from 2 species
GGACGGGUGAGUAAUGUCUGGGAAACUGCCUGAUGGAGGGGGAUAACUACUGGAAACGGUGGCUAAUACCGCAUAACGUCGCAAGACCAAAGAGGGGGACCUUCGGGCCUCUUGCCAUCAGAUGUGCCCAGAUGGGAUUAGCUUGUUGGUGAGGUAACGGCUCACCAAGGCGACGAUCCCUAGCUGGUCUGAGAGGAUGACCAGCCACACUGGAACUGAGACACGGUCCAGACUCCUACGGGAGGCAGCAGUGGGGAAUAUUGCACAAUGGGCGCAAGCCUGAUGCAGCCAUGCCGCGUGUAUGAAGAAGGCCUUCGGGUUGUAAAGUACUUUCAGCGGGGAGGAAGGUGUUGUGGUUAAUAACCGCAGCAAUUGACGUUACCCGCAGAAGAAGCACCGGCUAACUCCGUGCCAGCAGCCGCGGUAAUACGGAGGGUGCAAGCGUUAAUCGGAAUUACUGGGCGUAAAGCGCACGCAGGCGGUCUGUCAAGUCGGAUGUGAAAUCCCCGGGCUCAACCUGGGAACUGCAUUCGAAACUGGCAGGCUUGAGUCUUGUAGAGGGGGGUAGAAUUCCAGGUGUAGCGGUGAAAUGCGUAGAGAUCUGGAGGAAUACCGGUGGCGAAGGCGGCCCCCUGGACAAAGACUGACGCUCAGGUGCGAAAGCGUGGGGAGCAAACAGGAUUAGAUACCCUGGUAGUCCACGCCGUAAACGAUGUCUACUUGGAGGUUGUGCCCUUGAGGCGUGGCUUCCGGAGCUAACGCGUUAAGUAGACCGCCUGGGGAGUACGGCCGCAAGGUUAAAACUCAAAUGAAUUGACGGGGGCCCGCACAAGCGGUGGAGCAUGUGGUUUAAUUCGAUGCAACGCGAAGAACCUUACCUGGUCUUGACAUCCACAGAACUUUCCAGAGAUGGAUUGGUGCCUUCGGGAACUGUGAGACAGGUGCUGCAUGGCUGUCGUCAGCUCGUGUUGUGAAAUGUUGGGUUAAGUCCCGCAACGAGCGCAACCCUUAUCCUUUGUUGCCAGCGGUCCGGCCGGGAACUCAAAGGAGACUGCCAGUGAUAAACUGGAGGAAGGUGGGGAUGACGUCAAGUCAUCAUGGCCCUUACGACCAGGGCUACACACGUGCUACAAUGGCGCAUACAAAGAGAAGCGACCUCGCGAGAGCAAGCGGACCUCAUAAAGUGCGUCGUAGUCCGGAUUGGAGUCUGCAACUCGACUCCAUGAAGUCGGAAUCGCUAGUAAUCGUGGAUCAGAAUGCCACGGUGAAUACGUUCCCGGGCCUUGUACACACCGCCCGUCACACCAUGGGAGUGGGUUGCAAAAGAAGUAGGUAGCUUAACCUUCGGGGGGGCGCUUACCACUUUGUGAUUCAUGACUGGGGUGAAGUCGUAACAAGGUAACCGUAGGGGAACCUGCGGUUGGAUCACCUCCUUA